rnacentral:ncRNA from 1 species
AUAAGUUGAUUAAUAUAAAUUGUGGGUUGUAGUACCUGAGGGGUUAUUUGUUACCUUAUUUAAUUAUAAUUUGGCUUUGGUUAUAAUAUAAGCUAUAUACUAAAUUUAUAUAUGCUAGAUUUGUUGGAUAAUCGUUUUGUUUGUGUACAUUGUUAUUUAUAUAGAUUUAAUAUUUUUUAAGUAACGAUUUAUGUUGUUAAUAUUUUAUUAGGAUGAUGAGAGUAAACUACGCAGUAUUUAUAUUUAUACAAUGGAUGAGAGUUUGAUAUAGUUAGUGUUUUAAAAGGUGGUUAAAUUGGUGCCAGCAGCUGCGGUUACACCAAUACCUUAGGUUUAUAUUUAUAUAGUAUAAAAUAAAGUAAUAUUCUAGGCUGAUUAGGGCUAAUGAGGAUAACAAGAGUAGGUAAAAUUUAAUUGUUGUUAUUAAUUAUAUAGUUCUAUGAAGAAAUUCUUUGAAAAUAAGGUUUAAGAAAACUAGGAUUAGAGACCCUAUUAUUCUUUAUUUUAAAAAUUUUAUUACUUAAGUAGUAUAAAUGUGAACAGUGUAUGUAUAGUUUUUCGAUUGUUUGAAACUUAAAAGGCUUGGCGGUGUUAUAUAUCCUACCAGGGGAGCUUGCUUAUUAAUUUGAUAAUCCCCAAUUUAUACUUACUUUUUUUUGAAUUAUAACAGUUUGUGUAUUGCUGUCGUCAGUUUAUUUUGUAAAAAUUUAGGAAAAAACUAAAUAAUUUUAUGGUUGUGAUGUCAAGUCAAAAUGCAGUUUAUGAAAAAGGUUUAAAGUGAGCUACAAUUUAUAUUUUUUAAUCGGACUAAAAAGUGUAAUUUUUUUAUGAAGGUGGACUUGGUAGUAAUAAGAGUUUUAAAUAGUGAGUUCUUAUGAAUUGGGUUUUAUAAUGCGUACAUAUCGCCCGUCGCUCUUGUUGGAAAAUAAGAUAAGUCGUAACAUAGUAGGGGUAGUGGAAGCUGCUCCUGGAGUGAUAA